AUUGUAUUGUUUUUAUAUUUUAGUCUAAUGGGCCACCCAAACCCAAGCUGAAAAUCAGCAAAUUCCAUAUUAAGUACCAUAAUUCAUAGCCAGUGUUUCAGCCAACUUAGACUAGACAUUUGGAGGUAGUAUAAGCUGCUUUGUUGAAGCUGUGUAGAGUUUGCUGUUCCUAGAUGUUCUUCAGUGGACCCUCUUCACUGCAACUCUGUCAGUGAUAAGGGCCUGUGUAGUAAAGAUGUUCAGGGCAUUCACAUGACCAUGCAAUUGUGGGAGGCGAAGAAGACGUGGACAGGAGUCCCAUCCUUGCUGACAGGCAUGAAACCGUUGCUCUGAGAAGAUUAAUGGUGUGCCCUAGCCCCAAGUUGGAGGGGAGAAUAUGAGAGAGGUGGGACAGGUCAUUUGAGAUGACACCUCCCAACUGCCUACCAUUUACCAGCAUGUUCCCCAUGCAUUAUCUCAAUUGGACAUCACAAGUAAUGAUACCCAGAGGGAUUAUUACUCCACUUCAAAAGCAAGGUUUAGAAGUUGAGGGAUCUGUUCACAGUCACAUAGUUUUUAAGCAGAGGAGCCAGAUAAUUUCCAAGUGUGACCUGGACUGCCUCUGCAUCAAAGUCAUAUGGAGUGCUUGUUCAAACAGCAGAUUCCCAGGCCUUAUUUUGGCCUAAAGAACCAGAGUCUAGGUGGUGGGACAUAGGAAUCUGCAUUUCAGUAAACUUUACACGUGAUUCUUCUGCACACAGUAUUGAAGAGCAACUAGAUUAAAUUCUAGUUUACAAAAUUACCAGUUUUCUUCAAGAACUAAAUGAUAUGUCCUUUUUUUUUUUUUCAAAGAGGAUAAGGCUGCUAUUUAAAUAAAAUAGCUAAAUGGAGAGUGAGAAGUGGAGCAGGUUCAUUCAGCAGCAUUCUUAAUUGAGCCAGCAUUGACACCCAGCCAGCAGGCCUUUGCAUUGCAUUCGGGGACCAUGACUCUGAAUCUGCUUACCAAUCAAUCUCGGUUUAAUCACCAAAAGUGCAGAGCAGGCAAAAUGCAGCUGUUUAUCAAUCUCAAAAGCUUUGGGACAGUGUCAUAGUUGAAAGAUGAGACUUAAGAAAACAGUUUCUUAAACUUCUUAAAACUUAAGAAACAUUGUUUCAUAAAACAAUAUUGAGUGGGCAUUCUUCUGCACAGUGUGAUGCUCCAACCCUGGCCCUAGUCUCAGUAGACCAUGCUGCCUCGAGUGUGCAUCGGAGAGAAGCCAUGGGUACCUUCCCCAUUAGAGGCUACUUCCUUCUAGUAACAGGAAGGGAAGUUCCAGCAUGAGGUAGUUAUCCAGGGUAGAAGGUCCUUUGAGGGGCUUGGUUGAAUUGAGAGCAUCAUCUCUAGAUGAUGCUGUUCCUGCUGCAGAUCUCUAGGAUGGAGAGAAUUCUCUCUUUAGUCAGAGAAGUUUAUGUAGGGAGGGGUAUUGGUUUUGCCUUUGUGUGUCUUUAAACAAAUGAACAUUUAUUUAGCUCAGAUUAAUUAGGUAUUUUGCCCACAUAAAGACUUCUGGAAAAUACUUAAACUUGAAAAAUCAACAUCACAUGUUUUAAAGCUAGGGAGAAAGAAGGGGGGUAUUAAAAUGAUGUUGAUUAUUUUGUAUUUUGCCAAGGUGUGUGUGUGUUAUUUCCCUCCCACUCUCAUGAGCAGUGAGUAUAGAUCUCCUUCUCUGAUUAGUAUGAAUAUGAUGGCAGGACUCGGGGAUAGUCCCUGCCCUUGACAUAGCCCCCUAAAACGGAAAAAGAAAAAGCCAGUUUUUGCUUGUACUUUGAAUGAAGAUGUUUUAGGCAUUGUACCAUUUAGCGGGGAUGAUACCAGGUGGUUGUUAGAAUUGUGCAGUGUGAUCAUUCUAAACAGCUGCUGGUGCUCCCUGUCACCUCAGGUGAACUCUGUGGUCUCUUGGAGAGGUAGCACUCUGAAAAUACCUCAGGUUUGCCACCGCAACUCUGAAUACACACAAAAGGAAAGCUGCUCAGCAUGGCCAUUUUGCAUUUGUAUAGGUAGUGACUAGAUGUACACAACUUAAUUUGCUGGGAAUGAGGGGCUUAAUAUUAUCUGAGAUCAUUGAGAACCCAGAUCAGACAGAAUAGCUUGAAUAAGUUACAUUUUCCAAUUACCCUUUUUCCACAUCUGUAGAAAGAGGGUAAUAUUUUUUAAUAGGUAUUUUCCCCACUGGAGCAUAUUACGUUUGCCUAAGAUGUAUAAAAGUUUGUUUAAGAUGUGUAAAAGUUUGCUUAAGGAACUGAGGAUCCUUAAAUAAAAAUAUUAGAAAUUAGAAAUUGAACCUAAUACUAAACAGUAAAUUCAGCUUAACCUGAACCUUGGCAUAGUCAGAGCUUCCUCCUACAUCUAAAGUAUUUGCUCUCUGUUUUAGUUAAAGUCAUAAUUUGCGCUGAUGUGUAAUCACUUUCCAAGAAGAGGGCAAUGAGAAAAGAUAUUUAAAGCUUUCUCUCCAUAGCCCUCCAAGACUUCUGGGACAACUAAAUUUACUUUCACCAUUACUGUGAGAGGAGGUGAGAAAACUCUAGUAUUUUGUUGGCAGAGUAAUCACUUUGUUCUCAUCGCUCAAAGCAUUUUUAGGAUUAUUUUUCUAGCGUAACCUUUAGAGAGAACUGGAAGAAAAAGGAAAUUGGUCUACUAGGUAUUGUAGACACAAAUAAGUAACAUUAGGCUAACCCCUUAUGAGACAUUUCCACACAAUUUCAUCGUGCCUGUACUUUUCUCUAUGGUAAAAGCCAGUGUUUACACUUUGUAGGGAUCAGGGUGUAUUUGUUGAAUUAAACAAAAUAUUUUCAAUGAUGGCAAGUCUCUUGACUUUUGAAAGCAAGUCAGAUUCCUUAUAGCUAAUGCUGGUGAAAAAUGUUAAAUUGGAGAGAUCCCUUUUGGGAGUGAAACCAAAUUGUAACUAUGAGGAGAAGAUGGUCUUCUCAUUGGCUCUUGAUGUAGCUCUGAAGGGAGUUCCAGAAGAGGAGCUCUCACAGAAUGUUGAGCCUGUGGGCCCAAGACAUUGACUUCGAAGGGUAGUUCUCAUUAGGAUGUAUAAGUAGUGGCUUGAGGCACCUUCUUAUCAUUUUUUGCAUGUUAUUCUGAUUAUUAAACUUCCCCCAAUGUCAUAUUCCAUGAUGAGGGAUUUCUGAACUCCAUAGUCCAGCGUUGUUGCUUUUCUCUCUUCUUUGCUACUGAAAAUUGCCAGCAGUACCGCCAUCAGCACACCAAAUCUACCCCCACUUAUGUUUGUUCUGCCCCAUUUCCCAGGAGCAGCUUCUAGCACAUAUGUAGAGUAUCUGGCACCACCUUAGCCCAGGGCUGCGUGCCUGAUCAGUGGGGAUUCUGUUCCCCCACCCCCCAGACUGCAAGAGCUUCUUAAGAAGGAGCCCAUAUUCCCAUUUGUAGCUGGAAAGCGGGUGAAUGACAUGACAUGGGGCACCUAGGAAAGAUGAUUAUUAGAGGAGUGCAGCGGAAAAAAAUUUGCACUCUUCUCCUUUUGGUUAUUACUUUCCAAAUAUAUUAACAAAAAGUUGAUGCUUUUAACUUUAUAUUUUCAGAAAAGUGUUUUUAAUUAAAAAUAUGUGAUAGGGACCAAAUAAGUAAAGUACAUUUUUCUCCACUAAAUUUGAAGUGAGGGAAAGAGGAGCCAAAGUAAGAGAUUUUUUUUUAAGGAAACUUAAUCUGAUUGUGAAAAUCAUACAUAUGGAGAAACAUCAGAUCAGGCAAUAGAGUCAGAGGGUCAUGAGCAAUAGACGAUGAUGCGAGGCAUUUGGGGAGCUUCCUGGAGGAAAAUUAAGUUUUUUUCCUAGCAAACUACCAUGUCCUACAAGAACUUGGUUAUAUAAUGGUGCGUCUCUGAAUCACUGAUUAAAACCAGUUGCUUCUGAUUUUAGUCACAGGUUUUACAAGUAUUCAGCUCUCCCUCAUGUUUCAUUUCUUUUUUUAAGAUAAUCUAUCAACCUUUUUUAAAUUUUAAAAUUUUUAGAUGUAGAGUUUAUAAGUAAAAUAUAUUUUUAGCCAUUGUUCUGUUAGCUGAGCUGAUGUGUUUGGUCUUAGAGGGCCUGACUUCAGAUACUCUUUGUGAUCUUGUAAGGGCUCUACACAAACUUCAUUAUGUAUGGUAAAUUUGUAUUCUUAUGGAUUGUAUAUAGAAUGCUUUCGUUAGAAGUACAUUCUACUUCUGUAUGUCCCUUUGUAAUCCGCAGUUGCUUACUCAGGGGUUUCAUAGUCAUUUCAUAAAAAAUAAUUCACUAGCUGUCUAAUGGUAUUUUAAGACUGUUUAUCUGUAUCACAACGUCAUUAGGAGUUCUUUCAACAAUUCCAUAAAUAUACUGUUUACUAGACCUUCCCUGUAAAUGUUCCCAAUUCCCAUCCUGUCUCAGACAGUCAAUAGUCCUGUGUACAGUGACUAUUUGCAUGAUUUCUCAUUGCACUGCUGCAUUCAGGCACUCCAGGGCAUGAUUAAACAGUCAUUAACAGUGCCUCUCUGGUACAGUUGAUGCAUGCAUUGAUCUUUCUUCUCUGCUGUUUUUAUAUAGCCUUUAAUUAAAAGGAAAAAAAUACCACUACUCUGCAAUGCAAAAGUCUUCAAAAUUCUUUGUUUCCUGUAUUAAUCACUUCUGUUCCAGAGUGAACAAAUGUUUUCAGCUAAGCUAUGUGAGAAUGUAAGAAUAAUAUCCUGCUUGUUCUAAAUAGUUCAUAUAUUUAAAGUGUGGUCAGUAUUUCCUCCCUGUACCUUACAAACAGAAACCACCCUGGGAUGGUUGAUACCCCUUACAAAGUCGAUCUUACCCACACAGACUCCUGUGUAUGCGUGUCUGUUUAUAGGUGUAUAUGGAGUCAGUGUUGAUAGGAAGGAUGCUCUAGAAGUACUUCUGUUGUUUCCUAGAAGGCUAUGAGCCAGUUCCAUGGCAUGUUUAAUGUAUAAUUCCCAUGUAUCAUGAGAAUUUCACUAGAAUGUCAUUAAACAGCCCAACUACCUCAUGUGAAAUUGGCUGUGGACAAUCUGUGUCAGAUGAGAAAUGUGUUCAGAUAAAUUUAAUCUGGUUAAUAGACUUAACAAAUUAAUGUCUACAUAAAGAAGAAACAUGAUAGACCAGAUGCCAAAGGCUAAAAUGUACAUAGAUUUCCUUGGAUUAAUUUUUAAGUCACUGUUUAAUUCCAUGCCUAGUAUUCUUAUGAAUGUUUGUGGUUUCAUAGAUUUAUGCACUUUGAAUAUCUGUCACGUGCAGUGUUAAUGUUACCUGUUCUUGUCUCUCAGCAUUUUGAAUGAGCAUCAUAAUCAGAGUAGAAGGCAAGUUAAACUAUAAAAGUGUCAAGUGGCUUGUUAACUUCUUAAUUUAAUGGACCUUUACUUAGAAUAUAAUAUGUUGGAGCCUCUUGGGACCAACCGAUGAGCGACAGUUUCAUGUUUAGAUUUGUAUUGUUUCUCUGUCCAAGUCCUUAUUCUCUAUCUUGUGGGGAGGGGUGACAGGGGAGGGUUUUACUUUUUUUGCAAAAAUGUUUGAAAAUAUCUGUCAGAUUUUAUAUUCGUUAGUUAUAAUAAACUUAUUUUUAAAGUA
rnacentral:lncRNA from 1 species